rnacentral:rRNA from 1 species
UACAGAGGGGGCAAGCGUUGUUCGGAAUUACUGGGCGUAAAGGGCGCGUAGGCGGCCUUCUAAGUCGAACGUGAAAUCCCCGGGCUCAACCCGGGAACUGCGUCCGAUACUGGAAGGCUUGAAUCCGGGAGAGGGAUGCGGAAUUCCUGGUGUAGCGGUGAAAUGCGCAGAUAUCAGGAGGAACACCAAUGGCGAAGGCAGCUCGCUGGAACGGUACUGACGCUGAGGCGCGAAAGCGUGGGGAGCGAACAGG